rnacentral:rRNA from 1 species
UUACCAUGCAGUCGAACGAUGAAGCCCAGCUUGCUGGGUGGAUUAGUGGCGAACGGGUGAGUAACACGUGAGUAACCUGCCCUUAACUCUGGGAUAAGCCUGGGAAACUGGGUCUAAUACCGGAUAGGAGCGUCCACCGCAUGGUGGGUGUUGGAAAGAUUUAUCGGUUUUGGAUGGACUCGCGGCCUAUCAGCUUGUUGGUGAGGUAAUGGCUCACCAAGGCGACGACGGGUAGCCGGCCUGAGAGGGUGACCGGCCACACUGGGACUGAGACACGGCCCAGACUCCUACGGGAGGCAGCAGUGGGGAAUAUUGCACAAUGGGCGCAAGCCUGAUGCAGCGACGCCGCGUGAGGGAUGACGGCCUUCGGGUUGUAAACCUCUUUCAGUAGGGAAGAAGCGAAAGUGACGGUACCUGCAGAAGAAGCACCGGCUAACUACGUGCCAGCAGCCGCGGUAAUACGUAGGGUGCGAGCGUUAUCCGGAAUUAUUGGGCGUAAAGAGCUCGUAGGCGGUUUGUCGCGUCUGUCGUGAAAGUCCGGGGCUUAACCCCGGAUCUGCGGUGGGUACGGGCAGACUAGAGUGCAGUAGGGGAGACUGGAAUUCCUGGUGUAGCGGUGGAAUGCGCAGAUAUCAGGAGGAACACCGAUGGCGAAGGCAGGUCUCUGGGCUGUAACUGACGCUGAGGAGCGAAAGCAUGGGGAGCGAACAGGAUUAGAUACCCUGGUAGUCCAUGCCGUAAACGUUGGGCACUAGGUGUGGGGACCAUUCCACGGUUUCCGCGCCGCAGCUAACGCAUUAAGUGCCCCGCCUGGGGGAGUACGGCCGCAAGGCUAAAACUCAAAGG